GGGGGGGGGCGACAAGACUCAAACUACUUUCUCCUGGGGGGGGAGAUAAAGAAAAAGGGGGCGAAAAAAGCAAGCCUCGUGGUAGCCAAGUACAUAACCUGGAGGAGGGGGGAGAUGAAUUCAGAAAGCUAAACAACAGAUCUACCUCCGGACGCUGCCGCUUGAGUCCAUUGCAAGUCCCAACCCAUUAAAGACAGCGCAAGGGGAAGCAGAGCGAUCGCUCCGGCAAAGCUCCCGAAACCCAGCGACCCCCCAUUCAAUCCCCGCCGCCGCCACCGAGCCGGGCUGCACUACACACCACAGUAAACAACAGUGAAGGCGAUGGUUACUGCUGUCAAUCUUGGCAAUCAAUGUGAGCGGCCAUGUCGAACAACAACGUGUGAGAGGAGGCUAAAGGAAAAGGAGCGACAGCCCUGUCAUCCGAUAGGGGGGAAAAAAAAGUUUGGUUAAGACUGAGACAACAACCAAAAAAAGAUCCCUGCGCGUUUCAGUCCGGGCAAAACCAGCAGAUGAUGUGAGGUCCCCAGCAGCGGCACCCUUGGGCGCUCCCCCGCAGCCUGCGGGGAGGUUUUACCUGUUAGAUCGCCCGGUUCAAACAGCAAACUCUGAAUGCCUUUUGCCAACACCAGGAACUGUCCUUUUUAGCGGAAGCAGAGGAGGAGAACAUCUGACUGUCAGUGGCAAUUGGGCAUCCUCCUGAUAGAGAAGCCAAAAUAUAUAACUAUAUAUCUAUAGAUAGGUAUAUAGAUAUAUAAAGCCGCAGGAAUAACCACCCCCACGUCCCCCAAAAUGGCAAACCACAGAAACUUUUUGUUUCCCCCAAGAAAAUAAAAGCAAGUUGGACAUGGAGCCCCUUCCUGUCUCGGGAAGUUCAUUUCCAAGGUCUCCUCUGUAAAUCUAAAGUGCAAACACUCGGCUAAGGUAGUGAGUGGCUGGAAUUUGCAUGCUGAUAAGAGAAGGCUGCUGUACUUACAGUGACAGAGGGCAGGCUGCGGAAGAAAAGCUGUUUGUGUUAGCCUGAGAGUCACCCAGGGCUGCAAUGAGAGGAGCAGAGAGGAGUGGGAGUGCCAAGCUGGAUACACCUUCACCGCAUCUCAUCACAUCUGCCAGCCUCUCUCUCCCUCUCUCUUUCAUUUCCACAUUCCCUUUGUUCCUG